rnacentral:ncRNA from 2 species
AAAUAAUCUUGCAACUGGCGGAAAUGGAAUUAACCAUAGGGAGCAGGAUUUUAGAAAAGUAUCGACCGUCUGGGUAAAUUAA